AGCAGCCGCGGUAAUUCCAGCUCCAAUAGCGUAUAUUAAAGUUGUUGCAGUUAAAAAGCUCGUAGUUGAAUUUCGGGAUUUGUCAGUUGGUCGGGCUUCACUGUCCGUAUUGACUUGAUGGAUUCUUACCUUCUGAAUAACCAGCAUGCUAUUAAGUUAGUGCGUUGGGGAAGCAGAUCUAUUACCUUGAAAAAAUUAGAGUGCUUAAAGCGAGCUAGUGCUUGAAUAGAUUAGCAUGGAAUAAUAAAAUAGGACGGCAUGGUUCUAUUUUGUUGGUUUCUAGGAUCACCGUAAUGAUUAAUAGGGAUAGUUGGGGGCAUUAGUAUUCAAUUGUCAGAGGUGAAAUUCUUGGAUUUAUUGAAGACUAACUUCUGCGAAAGCAUUUGCCAAGGAUGUUUUCAUUAAUCAAGAACGAAAGUUAGGGGAUCGAAGACGAUCAGAUACCGUCGUAGUCUUAACCAUAAACUAUGCCGA
rnacentral:rRNA from 1 species